rnacentral:rRNA from 1 species
GAGUUUGAUCCUGGCUCAGGACGAACGCUGGCGGCACGCCUAACACAUGCAAGUCGAACGGAGAUAUUUUGGUUUACUGAGAUAUCUUAGUGGCGGACGGGUGAGUAACACGUGAGCAACCUGCCUCUGAGAGAGGGAUAGCUUCUGGAAACGGAUGGUAAUACCUCAUAACAUAACGAAGCCGCAUGACUUUGUUAUCAAAGAUUUAUCACUCAGAGAUGGGCUCGCGUCUGAUUAGAUAGUUGGUGGGGUAACGGCUCACCAAGUCGACGAUCAGUAGCCGGACUGAGAGGUUGAACGGCCACAUUGGGACUGAGACACGGCCCAGACUCCUACGGGAGGCAGCAGUGGGGAAUAUUGCACAAUGGGGGAAACCCUGAUGCAGCGAUGCCGCGUGGAGGAAGAAGGUUUUCGGAUUGUAAACUCCUGUCCUUGGUGAAGAGAAGAGACG